GACGAACGCUGGCGGCGUGCCUAACACAUGCAAGUCGAACGGGACCAGCAAUGGUUCAGUGGCGAACGGGUGCGUAACACGUGAGGAACGUAGCCAUCGGCGGGGGAUAGCCGGCCCAACGGCCGGGUAAUACCGCGUACGACCUUCGGGUGGCAUCACCUGGAGGUGAAAGCAGCAAUGCACCGAUGGGGCGCCUCGCGGCCUAUCAGCUAGUUGGUGAGGUAACGGCUCACCAAGGCUACGACGGGUAGCUGGUCCGAGAGGAUGACCAGCCACAUUGGGACUGAGACACGGCCCAGACUCCUACGGGAGGCAGCAGUGGGGAAUAUUGCGCAAUGGGCGAAAGCCUGACGCAGCGACGCCGCGUGUGGGAUGAAGGUCUUCGGAUUGUAAACCACUGUCGGGAGGGACGAAGCUCUGACGGUACCUCCAAAGGAAGCACCGGCUAACUCUGUGCCAGCAGCCGCGGUAAU
rnacentral:rRNA from 1 species